rnacentral:tRNA from 1 species
GGUAGCGUGGCCGAGCGGUCUAAGGCGCUGGUUUUAGGCACCAGUCAUUUCGAUGGCGGGAGUUGGAAUCCCACCGCUGCCA